rnacentral:rRNA from 1 species
CUACGGGGCGCUGCAGUGAGGAAUAUUGCACAAUGGGGGGAACCCUGAUGCAGCAACGCCGCGUGGAGGAUGACGCAUUUCGGUGUGUAAACUCCUUUUAUAUGUCAAGAAAAUGACGGUAGCAUAUGAAUAAGCACCGGCUAACUCCGUGCCAGCAGCCGCGGUAAUACGGAGGGUGCAAGCGUUACUCGGAAUCACGGGGCGUAAAGGACGCGUAGGCGGGUUGGAAAGUCAGGUGUGAAAUCCUACAGCUUAACUGUAGAACUGCACUUGAAACUUCUAAUCUAGAGUAUGGGAGGGGAGAUGGAAUUAGUGGUGUAGGGGUAAAAUCCGUAGAUAUCACUAGGAAUACCUAAAGCGAAGGCGAUCUCCUGGAACAUUACUGACGCUAAGGCGUGAAAGCGUGGGGAGCAAACAGGAUUAGAUACCCUCGUAGUC